rnacentral:rRNA from 1 species
GUAGGGAAUUUUCGUCAAUGGGCGCAAGCCUGAACGAGCAAUGCCGCGUGAGCGAAGAAGGUCUUCGGAUCGUAAAACUCUGUUGCGGGGGAAAAAGGAAGGAAAGAGGAAAUGCUUUUCUUUUGAUGGUACCCCGCCAGAAAGUCACGGCUAACUACGUGCCAGCAGCCGCGGUAAUACGUAGGUGGCAAGCGUUAUCCGGAAUGAUUGGGCGUAAAGGGUGCGCAGGCUGCGCGUCAAGUCUGAAGUGAAAGGUACGGGCUUAACCGGUACAGGCUUUGGAAACUGGCACGCUAGAGGACAGGAGAGGGCGGUGGAACUCCAUGUGUAGCGGUAAAAUGCGUAGAUAUAUGGAAGAACACCAGUUGCGAAGGCGACCGCCUGGACUGUUGCUGACGCUCAGGCACGAAAGCGUGGGGAGCAAAUAGGAUUAGAAACCCUAGUAGUCC